UAGAUGAUCGUGCUCUCCACCGGUUAAGCCAUCGAAGAAGAGGACAAAGAAAGUGUAUCAAGAUGUUAUUGCAUAUGAAAAGAAGGAGAGAGCUUUCAUUCAACAAAAAGAAGGAAAAGGCUGAUUUUGUGGUGAUCUUGAGGUAAAAUAUUUACUUAAUUUAUUUUUUUCUGUUGGUUCUACAAUGCAAUUACCUCAAAAAAAACAUACACACAUUUUUACAAUUUUUAUCUUAGCCAUAUUUAUAUAUCAUUUUAGCAAAAAAAAAAGCAAAACUUUCUCUUCCAGGCGACUUUCUCGAGGCAGUAUUGGUAGAGCUGGUUUGACUUUCCCACGGUUUUAACCUUUCUGGUUUAUUGCCUUUCUAAUCAUGGGUACUAAACUGACUUUUGUCUGACCCCCUUACCAACCCGGUUACUUUCCCCCUUUUAGAAAGUUUUCAAAUCUCAAAACCACCUCUGCUCCAUUUCCGACGAACUUCGGCGGCGGAGGCCGUGUAGGCCUUUCCUCUGUAUCUCAAAACACUCGUGAGAUGGAAAAGAAGUUUCUGAGACGUAAUUUCAUAGUUCUAUACCACAGGACUUUUUGAAGAAAGGGUAGAGUCGACAGUUACUCCUCCACCAAAAGCCUCCACGAGUCAUCGUUUCAGAUUUCCCCGGUUCGCUCGUCUACAAUCAGCAUACACAGCACUUACAACUCGGCAUAUUCAAAGUCACUCUCAGUUUCUACGGUCUAACACAAAAGCUUCACAAGACGGACAUAAAUACUCUGCUCCUUGAGUAUUUCAGCAAGAUGACAACAAGAUAUACGGCAGCAGAAAAGGGUAAAGCCCUUGCUAGUAACCCUCCAUCUCUAGGACCACCACGACUCCGCAUGCGAGCUCCCGACUUUGAUCCUACAGACCUAAUCAAGGAGAACUCUCUGACCUUGGUGGGACGAUUGACAAAUACAAGGGAACAAAGGAUGAGUGCUGUUCUACCUUACCUUGCGAGAAAAUGGAACUUGGACGUUUCUUCAGGCUCAGACCUAGGCAACGGCUGCUUCCAGUUCCGUUUCAACAGAGAGGAAGACUUAAGAGACACCCUCCACAACAGACCCUAUCAAUAUGGCAGGUGGAUGAUUAUAAUCCAAAGAUGGGAACCGGUUAUCUCGCAAACGUUUCCUUCCCAGAUCCCUUUCUGGAUCUCGCUUAGAGGCAUUCCUCUUCACUACUGGCACGAAAAGGUGGUGCGCAACAUAGGGCUCGAACUAGGAGAACUGGAGACGUACGAAGUAACCAAAACCUUAGCUCGGGUUCGAGUGAUAGUAGAUGGCCUCAAACCACUGAUAAUGGAGGCAGCUAUGGAUUACGAUUCAGGAGAGGAAAGCAUUAUCUCAUUGGAAUAUGAAAACUUAGGUAACCAUUGUUCUAACUGCUACCGUCUCUCCCAUCUACAUUCCCAAUGCCCAGAGAGAACCACUACUGCUCCCCUCCGAACAGAGGACUUUGUCUCAGAGCAACUAAAGGACCAAAGAUCCUCCACACCCCCUCAGCCAAAAGCCAGAGAAACAAGAGAACCAGUUGAGCGUCACAACAAGCCGUUCCAACAACGCUUGGACCGACACGGGCGAGCCUUUGGUAAUAGAAUCUCCUCUACUACUUUGCACCCCCCGGGACCGCGCAACAAGCUAGCACCAAGUUCAUUCUACCAGAAUAAUCCCCGCACUACACAAAGGCAGAAGGAUAACAACCCCUAUAACUACUCCUCCCCUCCAUACACGAGGCGUCGACAUAACAACCAGGAGGAUAGACAUGGAGAUGGAAGUAGCGGAGAAACCAAGCGCAGAUCCCCUGUUCUCCAGUGGAAAGCUAAAUCACCAUUACUUGAACAUGAAGUUACCCCCCCAAGUGCCCCUUUUCAGCCUCCAAGACAAUCAGUUGGGCGCAACUUGGAAGCUGUAGAUUUCCCACCUAGUCAUGAGCAACCUACAAGAGAAGAGGUGAUGGAAGAGAUUAGAGAGGCUACACUGCAAUACAUAAACUGCCCUGACCCUAUGGAAAGUGCAGCAAGAAAGCAACGGGUUCUGCAGAGUGAGAUGAAUGGAGAGGUAGAAGAAGCAGCUACAAGAAUCCUUCAAGCUUCAACAUCUUCAGGAAUGGCUCGAUCUGAGACAUUACUAAUAGCAGAUGCCUCAAUUGCAGUAGCUCAGGUAGACACAGCAGCUGAUAACUCAGCCAGGCCAGUAAGGAAACGUGGGCGCCCCCUAAGCCUAGUGAAAGGAGAACUACUGUAAGGGUAAGCCCAAAAACCUACUCCGGCAUGGGCUCAAAGAAGAGAAACUUAGCUCGACUUCAAGGUUCACCGGGGGUAACCUCACGAGCUGGAACUGCACGUGCUGGAACAAGACGGACUACUCAACAAGCCGUAUCAGCCGCAUCAGCCACUACACCACCAAUAGUGUUGAUACCGGCAAGUUCGGGGAAAAAGACGGAUUUUCCUCGGCUAACUCCCGAUCUUCCUUAGCAAUGUUGAGCUGGAACUGCCGUGGGUUGGGGAACCCCACGACAGUCCAGCAUAUUAGGGAGCUGCGACGCCAAGCAUCCCUAGAUAUCAUCUUCCUCAUGGAGACCAAGAAUCCUAAUUCAUUUGUGCUUAAAGAACUUGAGUUCAUGGAUACGGAUCAACACUUUUUAGUUCCCCCGGAGAGACCUAACAGUGGAGGACUUGCCCUUUAUUGGAGACAAGAUAUCGACCUUCGUGUUUUAUCUUCUUCAAAGAAUGUAAUAGACACUAUUAUUACUCAUAAAGGAGCUACUGUCUUUGUUACCUUUGUGUAUGGAGAACCGGAAGUACCUCAUAGAAGUAACAUAUGGGACUAUCUGAUUGAGUUAUCACUGCAACGAAACGAGGCAUGGCUUCUAACCGGUGAUUUCAACGAAAUUGUCGACAAUAGCGAGAAAUCAGGGGGACCGGAAAGGGCAGAAGGUACUUUUGGAGCCUUCCGAAACAUGCUCGCUAGCUGCGAUCUGUUCGACCUCAAACACUCGGGUAACAGCUUGUCGUGGAGAGGCAAACGACGAAACUAUAUGGUUUACUGUAGACUGGAUAGAUCACUGGUUAAUCCGGCCUGGUCUGAUAGAUUCCCGACUGGAAGAUGUCAAUAUCUCAACUUUGAGAGCUCGGAUCAUAGACCGCUGAUCACAGUCUUCGACUCAGCAAAACGACUCAAAGGGCGUCUCUUCCGGUAUGAUAGGAGACUUCGAGACAACAUUGAUGUGAGGAACUUAAUCACCGAGAUUUGGAACUCCAAUACAGAAGCCUCGGUGAACACCCGACUGGCUAUGUGCCGAAGAGCUAUCUCGGACUGGUCUCGCGAACAAUACUUCAAUAGCAAGGAGGAGAUUAGCAAGCUAAAACAAGAGCUGGAAACAGAAUUGACUAACCCGCAAGGUGAUGAGAUUCUCAUUGCUUCCCUCAACGUGAAGCUAAGAAUGGCCUACAAAGCAGAGGAAGAUUUUUGGCGACAGCGGAGCAGAGUUAUGUGGCUAUCAUUAGGGGACAAGAAUUCGGGCUAUUUCCACGCUAUAGCUAAAGGACGACAAGCUCGAAACCGUAUGACGGUAAUAGAAGAUCAAGAUGGUACAGCAUACUAUGAAGAAGAUCAAAUUGCUAGCCAGAUUAGCCUCUACUUCUCUGAUAUUUACUCAUCCGUCAUUACAAGCGAAAUAUCUACAGAGUCAAGAGCAAUUGUUGCAUCAGCCAUCACUCCAUGCAUCUCUGCCUCAACAAAUGAUAGAAUCACAUCGAUACCUGAGGGACCUGAGAUUAAAAACGCCUUGUUCCUCAUUCAUCCGGAUAAAGCACCAGGCCCGGAUGGCUUCUCAGCCAGCUUUUUCCACUCCAACUGGAGCACAAUCGGACCUGCCUUGAUUUCGGAGAUACAAAGCUUCUUCAGAACCGGAUAUAUGUUGCCUGCUUCAAACUCUACGCAUGUUCGGUUGAUACCUAAAGUCACAGGGGCUAAAUUGGUGUCCGAGUACCGCCCAAUAGCCCUGUGCAACGUCUCGUACAAGAUCAUCACAAAGAUUCUCUCUCUCAGACUCAAGCCUAUACUCCAAGAUAUCAUCUCAGAGACACAGUCGGCAUUCGUACCCGGGAGAGCUAUAUCCGACAAUAUACUCAUCACCCAUGAGAUCCUCCAUACACUUAAGACGUCGGAGGCGGAAGUUCAUUGCUCCAUGGCAGUAAAGACUGACAUGAGUAAAGCCUACGAUAGACUUGAAUGCACUUCAUUGAAACAGUCCUAGAAAGGUUUGGGUUCGCAAGCACCUUUGUGAACUUGAUUAUGCAGUGUGUGAGUUCCGUCUCGUACUCUUUCCUUGUCAACGAUUCAGUACAUGGAAAGGUGAUCCCAUCACGUGGAAUCCGGCAAGGAGACCCUCUAUCUCCAUAUAUAUUCAUUUUAUGUGGAGAGGUACUGUCCGGACUGUGCAGGCGAGCUCAAGGCAGUGGACAUCUCUCGGGUCUGAAAGUGGCCACUUCGGCUCCGCAAUUGAACCAUCUUUUAUUCGCUGACGACACCAUGUUUUUCAUGGACACGGAGGAGCAGAGCUGCGCUUCAUUGAUGAAGAUUCUACAACAGUAUAAAACAUCCUCCGGUCAGCUAAUCAACACUGAUAAAUCUUCGAUCUCCUUCUCAGCAAAGACCCCGCAGGUAAUACGGGAACGUGUUAAAUCACACCUCGGGAUUGCACAAGAAGGCGGAGUAGGAAAAUACUUAGGACUCCCGGAACAUUUCGGUCGACGAAAGAAAGAUCUGUUCACAAGUAUAGUGGACCGGAUCAAGAUCAAAGGCGCGAGUUGGGCAUCUAAACACCUCUCGAGUGCGGGUAAACUUGUUAUGUUAAAGGCGGUACUUACUGCAAUGCCGUCCUUUGCCAUGUCUUGCUUUCUCCUACCAGUAAGCUUGUGUACUCGAAUUCAGUCCGCUCUUACGAGAUUCUGGUGGGACUCGUCUCCGGAGAAGAAAAAGAUGUGUUGGGUAGCUUGGGAUAGAAUUACCGCCCCAAAGGCACUGGGAGGUUUAGGGAUCAGAGACAUCCAAGCCUUUAACAAGGCCCUGCUAGCGAAGCAGGCCUGGAGGAUCAUCACGAAGCCGGAGUGCUUAUUGUCAAGAGUUUUACGAGGUAAAUAUUGUAGUAAAGCCCCCUUCCUACAAGUAGAUGCACCGAAGACUGCCUCACAUGGAUGGAGAGGGAUCCUGGUGGGGAGAGAUCUGCUUGUAACCAAUCUGAGCAUAGCCAUUGGAGAUGGAGAAACUACACGGGUGUGGAAAGACCCUUGGCUAAGUAUGGACAAACCGGUGAGACCAGUUGGCCCUAUGCAGGAGCAACACCAAGAUCUUUACGUCGCAGACCUCCUUUGCAGAGGAACUUUGGAAUGGAAUCUACCAAAAGUAAUGGACAUCCUUCCCCAACACGUACCAGAGAUAUUGCGCAUCAAACCGAGUGUCACAGGGGCGACUGAUUCCUAUAUGUGGUUGGCUUCCAAAUCAGGAGUGUACUCAACCAAGUCUGGCUAUUAUGCAGCAACAGCAGCGGAAGCAGAUGCAACAGUUGAAAACCAGCGGACCUUUAAAGCAAUUUGGAAUCGCAAGACCUCGCCAAAACUACAGUUGUUCUUAUGGAAGGUAGUCCAAGGGGCCUUGGCCCUAGGAGAGAACCUGGCAAAGCGCGGCCUCAUGGCUAAUGUGCAAUGCAGGUAUUGCGGUGAGUUAGAAACUGCAGAACACAUCUUCCUCCACUGCCCCCGUACGAGACAUAUAUGGAGUAACACGAUUUGGUCCUCAAAUUUCAACCCUGCAAACUGUGACUCCUUUAGUGCAGCUCUCUUGGCGUCGGUCUCAGGUAUCAUGCUACCACCGUGGGGACUGGCCGGAGACAUCUUUCCAUGGAUCGUUUGGGGCAUAUGGACAGCAAGAAACCUCUACAUCUUCGAGAACAGAGAUUCGACGCCUGUGGAGAUCCUCACUAAGGCCAUUCGAAACGCAAGAGAAUGGCACCAAGCUCAAGCAUCCAUCCUACCGCAGCGGAAUGUACUAACACAUGCUCCGAUCCAACCCAUAGACCCCGCAAGUAUUCUCUGUUUUACUGAUGCAGCUUGGCAUGCUACCUCAUCUAGAGCAGGAUGUGGCUGGAUCUUCUUAUCACAGCAGAACGACCAACUGCACCAGGGAACAACGUCUUUUGAGAAUACAUCUUCAGCCUUGGUAGCGGAGGCGCUAGCUAUCAGGUCGGCUCUUCUCAAUGCCCUAGAGGCUGGUUUCACAAGAAUCUGGAUUAAAACAGAUUGUCAAGCACUUGUUGCUCUUAUCAACUCGAAGAAUCACCCGAAGGAUCUCUACGGAAUCUCCCGGGACAUCGAGCAUCUAUCCCUUUCCUUUGAUUGUAUUGCGUUUUCUUAUGUCUCUAGAAACUUAAACUCCUUAGCUGAUUCACUCGCUAAAUCAGCAUUGUAUUUGGCUACCACCAGCUACUCUUAGUUGGGCUGCAAGUUUAAUAUAUGGUUUGGUUGUGUUCAAAAAAAAAAAAAAAUCUUAGCCAUAUUUUUUUUAUUUAAAUUAAUAAAUUACUUUUAAUUUUUGAAAAUCAUAUUAUUAAGUUUGAGACCGAAUAUAUAAUAUUUCCAUUAGGCGUAAUCAUUAUUUUGUUAAAAUUCAUUAACCCGUUUUACUCUGUUUAUAUAUUAUGCAAUCUACUCAAAGUAAAUCAAGGAAAUAGAAAGAUUAACAUGAAGCCAUUUUCCUCAUUUGAUGAUGCUAUUCCGUGCUACUGGACAAAGAAUCAAGUUUAAAGAAAUCUUACAAAGUUUGGUUUCACAUGCUGAUCAUACAUUUUUUUUCCACUGCUCUUGUUGCAGCCUCUUCAGCACACACUCAUGCUCCACAACAAUGGCCACACCAAGGGUCAAAACAAUAACUGUUGUAGAGGACGAAACAACUACAAUCACUUCAACUAUAUCCAAGUUGGACUCCACCACAAUUAUUGCCAACUCCUGGAAAUGUUUACAGAAACUGGCCAUCGCAAAUUUCUGCCCCUAGAACUUUUAUCAUCGCAAACUACUAGGCGCAAAAUCACAUACUUCCCCUGCGAUUGAAACCAAUGUAGCAGAGGCAUCUCAAAUCCAACUAACUUAGGAUUUUGUGGCUGCAUUCAACACAAUGACUCCAUUUGUUCAUACGUCGGGUCAUUGGUAAAUGGACAUUGGUGCUACAGGUCAUUUAGCCGCCUCCACAUGUAUUCUAUAAUUUAAAUUUAACAUAGGAACAUCGGUAAUUCUUGGUAAUGGCUCUUCCGUUCUAGCUUUCCAUUUUGGUUCAUCAUCUCUUCUCACACCUACCCCUCUUUUCAUCAUCAUAAUAUCCUAGUUACUACAAUAAAUCUAAUCUAUGUUUGAAGUUUCAUAAAAGACAUUAGUUUUGUGAAUUUGACCCUUUUUAUUUUUGUGUGAAGAAGCUUCUCACUCGCACAAGUAAUAGUAAGGAAGAUCUCUACAUUAUGCUUUGUCUUUUCAAUAAAUAGAACAAUUUAUCUUUUGCUUUUUUGACAGCCUCUCCGUAAAGCAUAAAAACUCAAUAUAUCUAAAUAUGAGGUUUGUAAAAAAAAAACCAAACAAAAAAAAACCAAAAUCGAGUUGAUACUUACAAAUACUCUAGACCCCGAAAAAUCAAAAUCAAACAAAAAAUGAAUGAAUAUGGAAUAGUCAAACUAUAAUUUAUAUAUCAAAAAUGUUAAUUAUAUUAAAUUUUAAAAUAACCAAAUUCCUAAAAAUAAAUUUUAUAAACCAAAUCUUUAUAUCCUAAAUAUCUAUUAUUAUUUAAAAUAAAUUCCACAAAAGCCGAAUUAACUACAUGUUUUUAGCUAAUAUCUGAAUUAUCCAAGUUACUCGAUUAAUCAAGCAAAACAAAUUGACUGAUAUUUUAUUCAAAGAACCCAAAUCAUUCCAUAUUUUAAUUAAAUUGUAGAAAUCAUUUAAUAAGCUAAAAACCGGAACUGAACUAGACACAGUUUUUGCAAAAUAUUAACCGGUUUUCAGUAUUGUUAUCUAAGCCGAACCAAAAACAGAAAAGACAAACCCAAAUGGUUCCGAUAUUUUAUAUCCAAACAAAAACUAUCAGAAACUGAAAAAUUAAACCUGAAACGAACUCCCAGAACUACACAUAUCUAU
rnacentral:lncRNA from 1 species